GAGUUUGAUCAUGGCUCAGAUUGAACGCUGGCGGCAUGCCUUACACAUGCAAGUCGAGCGCCCCGCAAGGGGAGCGGCAGACGGGUGAGUAACGCGUGGGAACGUACCCUUUACUACGGAAUAACGCAUGGAAACGUGUGCUAAUACCGUAUGUGCCCUUCGGGGGAAAGAUUUAUCGGUAAAGGAUCGGCCCGCGUUGGAUUAGCUAGUUGGUGGGGUAAAGGCCUACCAAGGCGACGAUCCAUAGCUGGUCUGAGAGGAUGACCAGCCACAUUGGGACUGAGACACGGCCCAAACUCCUACGGGAGGCAGCAGUGGGGAAUAUUGGACAAUGGGCGCAAGCCUGAUCCAGCCAUGCCGCGUGAGUGAUGAAGGCCCUAGGGUUGUAAAGCUCUUUCACCGGUGAAGAUAAUGACGGUAACCGGAGAAGAAG
rnacentral:rRNA from 1 species